GGAGGAAAAGAAACCAACAGGGAUUGCCUUAGUAACGGCGAGUGAAGCGGCAAAAGCUCAAAUUUGAAAUCUGGCACCUUCGGUGUCCGAGUUGUAAUUUGAAGAAGGUAACUUUGGAGUUGGCUCUUGUCUAUGUUCCUUGGAACAGGACGUCACAGAGGGUGAGAAUCCCGUGCGAUGAGAUGCCCAAUUCUAUGUAAAGUGCUUUCGAAGAGUCGAGUUGUUUGGGAAUGCAGCUCUAAGUGGGUGGUAAAUUCCAUCUAAAGCUAAAUAUUGGCGAGAGACCGAUAGCGAACAAGUACAGUGAUGGAAAGAUGAAAAGAACUUUGAAAAGAGAGUGAAAAAGUACGUGAAAUUGUUGAAAGGGAAGGGCUUGAGAUCAGACUUGGUAUUUUGCGAUCCUUUCCUUCUUGGUUGGGUUCCUCGCAGCUUACUGGGCCAGCAUCGGUUUGGAUGGUAGGAUAAUGACUAAGGAAUGUGGCUCUACUUCGGUGGAGUGUUAUAGCCUUGGUUGAUACUGCCUGUCUAGACCGAGGACUGCGUCUUUUGACUAGGAUGUUGGCAUAAUGAUCUUAAGCCACCCGUCUUGAAACACGGA
rnacentral:rRNA from 1 species